UCCUUCUCCUUAUCCUUCUCCUUCUCCUUCUCCUUCUCCUUCUCCUUCUCCUUCUCCUUCUCCUUCUCCUUCUCCUUCUCCUUCUCCUUCUCCUUCUCCUUCUCCUUCUCCUUCUCCUUCUCCUUCUCCUUCUCCUUCUCCUUCUCCUUCUCCUUCUCCUUCUCCUUCUCCUUCUCCUUCUCCUUCUUCUUCUUCUUCUUUUUCUUCUUCUUC
rnacentral:lncRNA from 1 species